CUUUCCCCUUUGGUUUAACCCUUUGACACUGUCUCUCUCUCAUCUCAUCAUCUCAUCUCUCUCUGUUUACAUUUUUGAAGCGUCAAAUCUGGUUCAUCCAGAAGAGUCUCAGGAGUCAAACAGGAAAUUCUUCUAACAGGACAGAAGUUUAAAAGAGCCUCAGAUUCACGGAUAGUUAACAAAAAUAAAAACAUCUUUAGUUUGGAGGCGGGCGGACGGGAUCAGUGAGAAGAUUAAAGUUUUUUAGACACGGACAACAGCACAGAGUAAUAAUACAAUGAUAAAGACACGAUAACAGCUCCUGAACACGACAACAUGACCGACUCGAGAGUAAAUAAUGACUUCUUCAUCCGGCACAGACGUGACCUCUGACCUUUGUCUAACAGCUGAUUCAGGUGAUCGCUCAGGUCAAGGUCUGUUAGAUUUGUGUUCCUGUUCACUGGAUUGAUUUCUCUGAUCUCAUGCUCCGUCUACACACACACACACACACACACACACACACACACACACACACACACAUGAACACAAACACAGACAGAUUUUAAUCGUCUGUAUGAACAACAGAGUGAGAUUAACUCUUAAAAGUCACUUUUGUUCGUACGAUCAUGUUUUCUUCUUCAGUCUCUUUAACUUCAGAAAAUGUCGCUGGGUCGAUCCGUUCCUCCUCUUUGUGUUGGUCUGUGGUCCGUCUGUGAUGCUCAUGUGCAGGUGGACAGGGUCAGUGUGUUCCCACAGACAUUAAACUGUCUGUUGCGUCUGUUUUCCUUCAACCAAAAGGCUGCUGGGGUUUAGGCUCGCUCGCAUCUGUGACUCGUUCAGUUAUCAGUCCUGUUUGAGUGUUAAAAAAGAGAUUUAUUUUUUCAGAAAAGAAAAGAAAAC